GUUCCAAAUCUGUUUUAUUUCCCUUCUAAAAUCUUGAUGUCUUUGAACCGGGUAUUUUCCUCUUCUUUUCUUCAACUCUACUAUCUGCUGUGAUAGCAAUGUCAAAUAUAUUUUCAAUCCUUUUUCUCUUUUCCACAACCACUAAAUCAGGUUUCCUAUGCACAAUGUGAUGAUCGCAUUGAAUCACUUGUCUCUACAACUCCUUUCAGAUCAUUGUCAUACCAAUUCUUCUCCAUUCUACUACGUUCUCCCCACAUCGUUUCCAGGGGACAAUUCUUGCCAAAGAUUGUCGUAUCUUUCUUUGUAAUCUGUUUGUGCAAGAUUUGCACCCACUUAUGGCUCACACUCUCUCCUCUUUUUCCACAUACAGUAUCAACACAGGGAUAACGCUGUUGUCCUGUCAAUGUGACACUUCAAGUAAGUCGUUCCCAAUGCUUGCUCUUUGGCAUUAAGGCCUCUGUUCCAACUUUAAGAUCAUUUUUUCAAAUCCAUCUCCAUGUUUAUUUAUUAACUUUACAAUCAUACAAAAUUAUAACAAUGAUUUAAGGUAUGGUCAAAGGACAUGAGUUCCAUGUGAAGACAAACCUGAAUGUUGUUCUACAGUAGGUCAGUUUUAUUAUCAGAUGUUGUUCUCUUCCACUUGAGCACAGUAUUCGCAACUUAUCGUAACGGUUUUAAGAUUGAAAUUUCAGCACAGAAUUGUUUAAUAUAAUUUUUUUUCAAUCUCCUUUUCCAUCUUCUGGUAUCUCCUUUCUUUUUAUUCGUAGUUUCUCAGCUACAUACAUACUAAUCACUUUGAUUAGCUUCUUGGUCUCUGUAAUGCUGCUGGUUUUAACACUUCAUUCACUCUCCUUAUUUCUUCCGCUGAUCUCUUUUUUAUCUGCUUUCUUAAUUUUGCUCUUCCUCAGGUUGCCUCAUCAUUGCCAACAGUGAUCUUAUUAUUUCUUGUUCUUCCUCUGUCGCUUCCUCCAGACUCUCCAUUUGUAAUUCCAUGUCUGGAUCUUCUUGUUCAUCAGAUCAAAGUACAAGAUCAGAUACAGUUCCUCUGCUCCAUUUGACCCCCCAAUUUCCCACUAGUCUUCUUCUGGUUCUUCUUCAUCGUAGUCACUUUGCAGAACACGUCUUUUGAUAUUUUCCAACAGCUUUGUCAGCCAUGCACUCAUUCUUUCUGAUCACCCUAGCUUGGCUUUGUAAACAAGCUUCGUUAGUACCUUCCACUAGCUAUUCAUUUGUCUUCUGUAACCACGGAUUGGUUUCCACUCUCUGCUAGGAUAAUAAUACUCCAUCACAAUUACAUUUGUUGUUUUCGUUCAUUUUCGCUUUAGCUCCGGACUAGAUCUACGAUAUCUAUUGUAACAUGUUCUCGAUCAUAAUUUUCAUUGAAGGAAUUCUCUCGAAAACGGUUAUUUCCACUACUAUUGUGCGCGUGCAUUAUGGAGUAUUUUUCCUGCCGACCGUAGGGAGGCAGCACACUAUUCUUGAUGCUUAGGUUUACUAUGCCUAUGCAUUAGUGCCAGUCCCUUUGCCCCGAGGGGAGGGCAAACCCCCAGACAAAGUAGUAACACAUAAUAUAUAUUUUUUAAUCAAAUAUGGUUGAAUCAUAUUCACCAGGGUAAAACAUCAUGAGCU
rnacentral:lncRNA from 1 species